CUUCAAACCACAAUCCCCAGAUUUCAGCUUCCUGAGUAGCUAGCAUAACAGUCAUGAGCCACCAGCACCUGGCUCGAUUUUUCUCUUUUUAAUACUUUAACAAAUCUUUCUAAGGCUAUCACUCUAAGUAAACAGAUUCAGAGAACUGAAGUCACCAGUGUAUUAGCUCACUAGUCUGGACAUGAAACUAUGUGUAGCUCACAACUAUUCUGAGUGGUCUUUAAGGUCUCUAUUUCAGAGGAAAAAGAAGCAUUAUCUAGAAAGGUCAGUGGUUGAACAAAGAUGGGCUGAACUGCAUAAUAAUCACUGCAGCACACAUGCAGGUGACUGAGGAACCACACACAGGCAGCAAACCAAACAAUGAGAUGUUAAAUGCCGUUUUAGCUAACAUGGGACAGAGAUGUACAGGACAGGAAGACAUAACAGUAGGAAGUUUAAUUUGAAAAGCACAUCUAAGUUUCAGAACCCUUUUACCAGUAAGUAUGCCAUAUCCCAGAGCCCUCAUUAAUUCACUAAAGGGAGUGAGGUCAUCCUAUGGGACUAAGCCAGAACCCGCCCUGCCUGUCCGGGCCAAGAGGACUGCUGCUGUUAAUGCUGCUCUAUUCCUUAUCCCUCCCAUUUCCUUGGCAAAGGGACAGAAGCUGAUGUAACUUCACAGAAGCAAGGGAAAGGAAAAACAAGCUUCUGAACAAAAUAUGAACCAACAAAAAAGCCAAACUUCCACCUCCAAGAAAACUUCCUUUUAUAAUUUGUUUUCAAAAGGACUCAGAUUAUCUUUAUCUUAAUAUAGCUUCUCACCUAAUGAUCUAUUCCCCCACAUAGUCUUCCUAUUCCUGACUAUAAUCUUAUUUGCUGGACUCCAAAAUGAGCUAAGGAAGGAGAUGAAAGAUUCAUCUUUUUUUCUUAAGCACCAUUUGUCUCAGGUUUGAACUCCGGGCCUUGUACUUGCUCGUACACUUGAUCAUCUGGUACUCUACCACUUCAGCCAUUCUUACAGCUUGGCUUUUUGUUGUAAUUGGAGAUAGCAGUCUUACAGACUUUUCUGCCUGGGCUGAUUAUGAACUUUGAUCCUCCGAGUCUCAGACUGACUAGCCAGGAUUUUAGGUGUGAGUCACUGAUAGCUGGCAAGAGCUAUCUUUUUGAGGAUUUCCAUUAAACCUGCCAAGGGCAGAAGUGGAAGUAUAACUCAAGAGGUAGAGAGCACCAGUCUUAUGUGAGAAAAAAAAGCUAAGCCAAGUGAGAGCAGAAGCCCUGAGUUCAAGCCCCAGUACUAGUACAAUAAACAAAUGAACUAACUAAUGAACUAGUGCUUUUUAAAAAAAACUUCCCACAAGGAGACAUGAGGCCUUCAUGGAAUGCUAAGGAUCUGCAUGGAAUUCCGGAGAUGUGGAUUAUAAAAUGCUCCCAAAGACUAGUGUUGGUCCCAGCUGGUAGAACUGUUGAGAAGUGACUGGAUCAUGAGGGUGGUAGCCUCAUCAAUUGACCAAUCCACUGGCAUGCUCUUACCUGAAUGGCUAUUAGGAGGUGGGACCUACUAGAAGGAGAAAAGUCACUUGGGGGCAUGCCUUUAAAGGAUAUAUCUCAUCCCCAGACCCCGCCCACAACCUUGCUGAUUCCUGGUGGCCAUAAGUGGAGCAGAUUUCUUCCACUAUACCCUUCUACCAAGAUGCAAUGGCUCCCCCAAUGUCCAGAAAUGACCAAGUGAACUAACUAGUUCUGAAACCUCUGGAACUGAGCAAGAAUAAGCCUUUCUUA